ACGAAGGGGGCUAGCGUUGUUCGGAUUUACUGGGCGUAAAGCGCGUGUAGGCGGGCCAUUAAGUUGGGGGUGAAAUCCCGGAGCUCAACUCCGGAACUGCCUCCAAAACUGGUGGCCUGGAGCAGAGGAGAGGCGAGCGGAAUUCCGAGUGUAGAGGUGAAAUUCGUAGAUAUUCGGAGGAACACCAGUGGCGAAGGCGGCUCGCUGGACUCUUGCUGACGCUGAGACGCGAAAGCGUGGGGAGCAAACAGGAUUAGAUACCCUGGUAGUCCACGCUGUAAACGAUGGGUGCUAGUUGUCGGCAGGCAUGCCUGUCGGUGACGCAGCUAACGCAUUAAGCACCCCGCCUGGGGAGUACGGCCGCAAGGUUA
rnacentral:rRNA from 1 species